rnacentral:rRNA from 1 species
UACGAAGGGGGCUAGCGUUGCUCGGAAUCACUGGGCGUAAAGGGUGCGUAGGCGGGUCUUUAAGUCAGGGGUGAAAUCCUGGAGCUCAACUCCAGAACUGCCUUUGAUACUGAAGAUCUUGAGUUCGGGAGAGGUGAGUGGAACUGCGAGUGUAGAGGUGAAAUUCGUAGAUAUUCGCAAGAACACCAGUGGCGAAGGCGGCUCACUGGCCCGAUACUGAACGCUGAGGCACGAAAGCGUGGGGAGCAAACAGG